rnacentral:misc_RNA from 1 species
UGCUGAGCUGGUACCAUGAAAG